rnacentral:lncRNA from 1 species
CUUUCUGCAAAUAAGCCUUAGCUACAAAGAACAAAUCAUGCUCUGCUGAUUUUUAAUUAGGCAACUUAGGUCCUAAAGGGUUAUUAGUGUUCUAUUCAGGCCCAUAUUGGCAUUCCCCACCCUUCUCUAGAUUGUCAUGAAAGCCUGGCUGGAGUUGCUAUUAAAUAUGAGACAAGACCUCAGUUAAACAUGUGUUAAGUUAGUGAUUUCUGGGGUGUUACCAACUUUCUAGAGAUACUACAUGUGACUCACUGAACUAGAUGACAGACUGAGUAACAAGUUAUUUCACCUAGUCCUAUUUAUCACAGCAGGUUCAUCCUGCCUUUUUUACAGGGAUGCCUGUCUCACAGGUACUGAGCAGGCCAAAAGAAAUCUGUUCCUACAUGCAUUGCUCUCUACACUUUUGUCUUUAUUCCAGUCCUGUGUACUGAAUUCAUGCCCUGGUUAGCUGAAACAAAACAGUACAGAACACUCUGAUUCAAAGAUUUUUGGAGGAAGACACCUAGACUUCUUGAGGUCAUGGUUCAACAGAUAAACUCUGCAGAUGGGACUCCCAUCAGAAUCCAAAUGGUGUGUUAAAAAGUGAUGGAGAAAAAACAGCACUUGCCAGUUUUCCAGAAAACAAGAUGCCCUGGAGUAUGCUCUUCCUCCCUGGCUCCUUCCCUGUACCCAUCACAGCUCCUAGGCACCAUCUGUGGACUUCUACAGAGCUCACGAUCUAAAGCAAGCAGCAUGCCAAAGAAAAUUGUGCAAAUAAAGCUGAGCUGCCUCAUAGCUGGUGGAUGUCUGUACUACGCUAAACAGCUCUUCAAGGAGAAGAGUAAAAAAGGGUAAGGAACUAAUGAGUCUUUGCAAGGAGCUGUUUCUGUGCCAGGAAAGAGUAUGAUGCAGAGCCCUGCUCCAGUUCCAUUCCCCAGCCUGUUCUAGUCGGCUGUGACUUUUGUUAAUCCCUGUCCUGGGGCUAGAAGAAAGCAAGACCAACAGUUCAGUUUGCUCUGACAGGACUGAGCCCUACUAGAAAAUACAAGGAAACCUCCUGAGUCAGCAGCUCACUUGCUCCUACUCUUGGAAUAGCUGAGAUUCCCGGACACAGUAACUUGACUCUGCUCCUGGCUCAGAGCAGCCACUAGCUGAAAGGCAAAAUAAAAUCCCCUCCUGGCCCAUUAACGAGGCCUGCUCUGGGUUCAGGAGAAACCAGUCUGACUGAUGAACUCCCCUGGCUCAGGGGCUCUGGCUGGGUCUGACAGAGUUAUUCUUUCCUUAUUCAGCAGACAGGAGGAUGUUAAUGGAGAGCAUAUGGGAGGGGAGGGAGUACUGUGGAUAUUGCUGGAGGACAGCCAGACUGAAUCAAAGCCCCAAGAAGCCUAUUCUCCAUCCGGGUAAUGCUAAAACAGGCCGUGGAGAGACGAGAAGUCCAGCUGUGACAGGGGG